rnacentral:lncRNA from 1 species
GUGGGUGUUCAGCCACUGACUGUAUGUGUAUAUCUUUGUCAUUGUUGUUAUCAGUAUUAUGGUGAUGACUUUCUCUGACUUUUAUGCAUUUAGGCUAAAGGAACCUGGAAAAACACAUGAAUCAAAAUAAAAGUUGAUUCACCUUUCCAGGGCAGAGUUACAAGCGUCAAAACUCUCAGGCGAGAUCUGCCAGUGACGUUCUGACCGCAUGCCUCUCUGCAAGGAAAGUGGUAUGUGUUGUUUUUUCCAGCAGUGGAAAUACAAAUGAUUAACUCUGGAAACCAUGGCUGUUUCACUGAUAACUAAUUUGUUUGCUGAUAAAUGAUUACCCAGGAGCCAGAAUAGAGACCCAAAAGUCAAACUGCAAAAAUUAUUAAGUUCCCUCUGUAUGCAGAAUAUUGUGCAACAUGGUUAUGGGUACUACAGUGGAUGUGAGUGUGUAGACCUUGUACAAUAGAGCUUAUAGGCUAAUGAGAAGACAGGAAGAAACAACAGGAACACAUAUAGCUGGAAUGCAGAUGGGAUCUGUGCUACUUACGCUAGCCAUGGGAUGAUUAGAACAAGAUAAGAGACAUGAGGAAGACUUCUUCAAGGAGGUGCUCAAGCCAUGUUUUGGAAAAGAGAACUCAAGGUCUGGCAGGGAGAAAGGAGCAAGGGCAAGUAGAGCUGCAGCUGUCUGGCGCCACUGUAAUGCUGUCUCCUCCUCUGAGUGAGUUCAUCCUGGAAACAUUUUCUCCCAUAAGACAUGCACAGGUCUUACGUUUACAUGUUUCACUGAAAGAAAUUUGAUUCCACUGCUGGGAUGACAAGGAAGACUGAAGAAACCUAAUCCUAGGUGCUGCCACUGGGACAAACAAGAAGCACCAGACACAGUGCUGUUUUAGGGUGGGGCAGAAUUAUGCUGAGGGAAAAGUUAUUAUCACUCUUUAAGGCCAAGGAAACCACAAUUUUUAAAGAAGCUUCUAGAAAUUCUACCCAGUAGAAAAUAAAGAUAAACUUCUGUAAGGAAUUUCAUUCUUUUCAGAAUUCGCAAUCUGAAAUGUAGAAGCCCAUUCCUUCAUGGUUCUCAUAGAUAUUUAGUGUGACUGAGGGGUCAGUGGACUCAUAGCACUCAGGCCAGGCUUCUCCUGAGUCCCUUUCUUUGGCACAGAGGGAGUGAUUCACAGAUCCUCUACCCCCAAAGGCAUUGUUUCCUCAUCUCAACAAGAAUCCAGCACCCGUCAUUUUAUCAGCACACGUCACUAGCUUCUCAAGUGAGACUACUCUGAAGUGAUCUGUGUUUGAAGAAUGCCUUUCCCUUUCCCUUACGUAACUAAGAGGAUGAAAAAGGACACUCACUCCCUAUAUGAAAGCUGUGUAUUGUAAGCAGUCAUCUUGCCUGGCUGAGAACUCUAGGAUCUUUUUCUCUGCUCUCCUUUAGGCUGACACUCAUAGCCAGACCUUCUGUUUAUUAGCCCCCUGAAUCUAUUUGAAAAUAUUUUUGCUUUCAUUAUAAUAUAAGUCACAUUCUUCUUGCAUCUGCCGCUGCAUUUUCCAAAAGGGUUAUGUCAAGGGAAAUUCAACACUCACUUUUCUCAUUAUUUGCUUACCAGCUUGCUCACUCAUCAAAAUACCAGAGUUAUUUGAUACUUCAGAAGAUUAUUUCCCCCUUUAGAUGAUGUGUCAAGGGAAGGGGAGCUGGCCCCAGUAUCAGGUGACAGAAUUUUCUUCGCAUUUCUACUGUUGACUCAAUAAAUGCCCUUGGGCAAGUCAUGGAGCCUCUUCAUACUUUGGUCUCUAGGGAUAAAAUCUGCCAACCGCAGCAUGUGUAUUUGAACCUCAGUGUCCUCUGGAAUAAAAAUAGGAGGGGACCAGGUGUCCAUGUGACCCCAAGCUGAUGGGAAGAGGAUGACCAUAGGACUUCAAAAUGUCCUUGAGCUGUAAAUUCUGUAAUAGGGUCAGGCCCACCAGUGGCCUUCAGGCAUUUGUCCAGUGGUGUAUGGAUAAGUUCUAGCACUUGAGUUUUUUCAGCACAAAGGAGGCACUAUGUCAACCUCCCACCCAUGGGUAUUCUGUUUGCUCUGUGUCCCCGCUUCUCUGCAUUUCCCUGCCAUAUUACUCACCACUGGUCGUAAUUACUUGCUUGAUCACUUGUCUCCUGGUCUGUAAGCUGUUUGAGGGAGGGGAGCACAUCUGCCCUAUGCAACACUGUACCCUCAGUGUGGUACACAGGAGCACAUGCCUGACAUAUGGAAGUUAUGUGAGAAACAUUUGUGAAGUGGACAAAUUAAUAAUGCUGCCUGGACUCUAUAGAAAUCCCUUUUCUGCAUCAUUAAGGUUCCCAAGCCUGGCCAAGAAGUAGUGGGAUCUGAUUAGCCUCAUCUCCUCAUAACCCUACUUCCUAUAAUAUUAUAAUGAAAGCAGAUCUCAGCCCAAAUGCUGGCACACAUACAUAUUUAUCAGUAAGAAGAUCCAAAAUCGUUCAUGCAGCUGGUUCUGUAAGCUUGGCAAAUUUCCAGCCCUCUGAACUUUUCAGUGCUUUGUCCACACUCUACAUGAAAGGGCCUCUUAAGAGUGACAGGGCAGUAUUCUAAAGACCAGAUUUUAAUUGCACCAGGUAACUGAAUUGUCUGAAUUCACAGCUGAACACAGGACAAGGUCAGAAUCAUAUUUCUUAUGCCAUUUAGAAAGGUGACAAGUGAAGGGCUGGCCAAAAUCUUACACCCAGCUUACGUAAGAGUAGAGACUGUCCCUAAUGCUUUCCCCAGUCCACUUGUCUCGAACACCAUUAGGUUCAAUAGUAAAAGCCCAUUUCUCACUUGCUUCAUGUUAAUUGACUGAUCACUAAUUUUACCAAUAAGAAGCCAUUUUUAUUAUUUAUCAUUAUGAUUUUUAUCAUUUUGUUAAUUAGCCAAGCUUCUGCUGUUGACUCCAGAUAAAGAGAGUUAAAGCACUUGGGGUGACCACCUAAGUAGAUUUUUUCAUGGUGAACAAAUGGAAGCAACAGAAACAGCUCAGACUUUUGAAAAGUGAUGAAAAAGGCCCAUGAUGCCCUGCUCCUUGAAAAUGAAGAAGAGGAUGACUUAGCCCUGCAGGGCUCUUUUCUUUGCAUGUUCUUACCAACCCUCAGGGGAGAUUCAGUCUACUAGCUGGCUUCCCCACGUGGACCUCACUCUGUGGCAAGUAACUGGGAGUAAUUUACCUUCUGGGUUCUCUUACAACCCCCUUAGCUAUGUAGGUGAUUUCAGGCCCAAGGGGGAAGAUAUCAGAUAAGCCAGAACAUUUUGAUUCUACUGACCGAGUUUCCUCACCUCCCUCCCUUUGUUUCUGAUAAAUACAUACGUUAAGGUCAGCUGAAGAGUUGUCUGUGAUAAUUGCCCUGAAUCCUCACUCACUCCUCUGAAUUUCUGUCUUCUGUAGCCUCUUAGCCAUGUUGCAGGUGAAGGUCUCAAGUCAUUUGCACCACUAGGAAUCGUUUGUGUUAUUGUGACUGAUAUAUGUCCUCAGAGUUGUAUCAGUGUUGUCCCCUACACACACAUGCACAUACAUGCACCACACAAUAUGCACGUUCUAUAAGACAGAGCCUCUAUUUUUGGUGUCUGCUUAGCCCUCCAGUUUCCCAUUGGGAUUAGUUGUUUUCUCCAAGCUUCAGACAACUUGGAGAUCCUGCCUAACUUUGGUUGCUCUUCCUUGUCAGACUGGAACUUACCCUCAGUAUGGUACAACCAAUCACUGGCUCUCAGGGAACUCAUCACCCUGAACUAUGCCUGACAGGACAGGAGCACCAUCAUCUCGGACAAACACUGCCACUUUAAGUUCCAGCUCCCUUUCUAGCCUCAGGCAUUUCAAGAAAAUCACUUGUCUUCUCAUUACAAGCAGUCAGAAAGAGCAGACAGUAAAAUACAGAUAAGACGGGCACAGAGGGAAGUGGGAGGAAAGUCUCUUGGGUAACUGCCAAACUUCACCCUCAUACAAUGGGCCCCAGUAAAACAGUGGGCCUUAAUAAGCACAUUCCUUUCCUUUCAGGUGCACUAAGAUAGGAAGGCUAAAGGCAGAUUGGGGGGAUAUGCCUGCAGCUACAGAAAGAUGUAUGGGAACAGACACACAACUCUCCCUCCCAAAUAAGCACAACAGAGAGACACAGAAGCAGUCCAAGCCUCUGAUAAACUCUCCCACCCUGAAUCUUUAAAAACUCUUAGUCUGCAAGAGAGUGUGGCUUCUGACCUAACUCGAUCAGAAGUCCCUCCCAGGUUUAAAAUAAACCUGUUAACUGUUGAGCCACCCUUCGUGUUUCUCUCCUCUUUCUUUAAUUCUUACAAUGCCUUCCUGAUGGCUGACUGCCAGGAAACCCCUUGGAUACAAUAGCCUGAAGCUGCUUACUCCCCUGGGUGUUGCCCUCCUGGCUACCCAUGGAAGAGCAAGCCCUGUUGACAAGAGCUUCCCCCAGCUCUAAUCCUACCUGGUUAUGGUUUAUUUUCUUUCCCCACCAUCUGGGCAGUUAUGUUGGCCCAAGGAAUUUGACUCAGUAUUAUCAUAGCAUAGAGCUAAUUUUAUAUGUAUUUAUUUCCAUGGUAAACAAGUUAUUCCCAUUGUCUGUCAUUCCCACUAAGCCUGCUAGGGACAGCCCAAAGGAGCAGCUCUAAGUGAGGAUACUUUGCCCUGUAUGACCCCGUCCCUAGAGCAGAUUGGUUCAUGGUUGACACCUAACAAAAAGACAGCCAAUCGAUAGGUUGGUCAGCAACUUUUCUCAUAACCUGACGCAUACAUAAAAGCUGGGUUAAACGCCAUUUCUACCUUGGAAAUUUAACCAAAGAAAGGUCAAGAAAAAGCGAAAAGACUUGGGAGGAUGCUUUGAAAUGAAAAGAUAAGAAUUGGAGCUACAGUAGGUUGUAAGAAGCCCCGGUUGCAAAAUAUUGAAACUAUGAGCAAGCUGUAGUGAUGGUGGAGAGAAGAGUUUCAGGCCAAGGGAAAGAAGCAGCUCAGAGGAGACUGAGCUAGGCCAGUGGACAUGGCCCCCUAACUCCUGCCACAGAGCCCUGGAGUCUCCUGGAGCCAGAGUGGCUCCUCAGUCCCAGGGCAGUGAGGCCUAUCCCUUCCAAUGCCUCUUCCUUCCUUCUGUGGAAGACCAACUCCAUUGAUGUUCCAUGUUUAUCUCCCUCCUGAGCUAACCUAGCUGAGUCUGCUCCUUACAAUCAAGAAAACCCACCCACUUUACUGGAUUCUCUCUGUGUGCAGCGAUGGUGGCAUAUAUCUUUGUAGCUUUUUGCCUCUAAUAUAAUGCAUUAUAAGGGUAAGUGAUGAGUUCUCAGUAAAUGAAUGUUGAAUAAACGAAUUUUUGAAAGCGCAAAGGAACAGACAAGUUCAUACACUUACUGUUAUGUUGUAAAGUCUUCAGUUUGGCUUUCUCAAAGUUGAACAAAAGAUGGCUACAUUCCUAGCGUCCCCCCAAGCCUUUUCCUAGUCCAUGAGUUUAGAGAUGGACUGCAAAUUUUAAACAAUACAAAUCUAGAAUCAGAUUCAAAAUCUCCUUCAAGAGGACAAACACUCUACUCCUAUUCUCAAUCCAGUUUUUUGAACUGAUCAGCCCACACACGCACGCACACACACACACACACUCAAAAUUAUUUUAAUAUAUGGACAGUCCUCAGUGUUUUUGUUUGUUUGUUUGUUUGUUUUUUGAGAUGGAGUCUCACUCUGUCGCCCAGGCUGGAGUGCAGUGGCGCAAUCUCGGCUCACUGCGAGCUCUCCCUCCCGGGUUCACGCCACUCUCCUGCCUCAGCUGGGACUACAGGUGCCCGCCACCACGCCCAGCUAAUUUUUUUGUAUUUUUAGUACAGACGGGGUUUCACCGUGUCAGCCUGGAUGGUUUGGGUCUCCUGACCUCGUGAUCCGCCCACCUCAGCCUCCCAAAGUGCUGGGAUUACAGGCGUGAGCCACCGCACCUGGCCAUCUUCAGUGUUUUUAAUACCUGAGUUUGUGGUUCUAAUUGUCUGAUUGAGCUAAAAAUUAACAAGAACUGGUUUGAGAACAUCUUCCUGCUUGGAAGUUAUUUCACCAAUUCAUUCUUUUAUAACACUGUAAAAAAGUAACUUAUUACAAGGUAGUAGUAACCUUUUCUUCCAAAGAAAUAUAAAAAAUCAAUUUGGUUAUGAAGAGAACUUUUGAACUUGGAGUUACUGAAAAUUAUUUACCAUCAGAGGAAUAUGUACUGGUCCUAAGAACAAUGAUAAAAGCCACAGUCCCUACUCUGGCAGCUGCUGGGCUGGUGGCAGAAGUUGUCUCAUCUGCUUUUCCCCACCAUUCUGGGAGCACUAGUAGCUUUGACUAUACACAGCUAUCAGAAGAGGGAGAGUUCAGCCUAGACCAGGGGUUGGUCCACAAACCUUUAUGGCAAAGGGCCGAACAGUAAAUAUUUUAGGUUUUGUGGGCCCCAUAGUCUCCACUGCAAGUACUCCACUGUGCUAUGGUCACACAAAAGCAGUCAUAGACAAUAUGUGAAGGAAUGAGUAUGACUAUGUUCCAAUAAAAGUUUACAGGUGCAGAAAUUUGAAUUUUAUAUAAUUUUCAUGUGUCCCAAACUAUUAUUCUUCUUUUCAGCCAUUUAAAAACAUAAAAACCAUCCUUGCAUUGUGAGCUGUAUCAAAUCAGAGGAUGAGAACAUGGACGCAGGUUUGGGGUCCCUGCUUCCUACCCUAGCUGAGUGCUGGGGGAACAGGCUGUAGAAUAGAUGCCUCAGGUCAACAUGGGGGGCUCCCAGGGUGGAAAGACUAGGGUCUCCCUUCCCAAGGUGAGUUCUGGAGUGACUGUGAGCCCUAGUGAAGCUUCAUGUCCCCCAUGGUACCAGAGCAGCAGAGCAACGGUGGCCAAGGGGCCUGGACAGAAUACCCUGGAGCCAGCUUUGUGACAGGCCCCUACAAAUGAUAAGGACAAAGAGUCAAAGUUCCUGAGCCUCCAUUUCAAAGGAGAGAAGAAGAUGAUGAUGGCUGGCCAGCAAAUUCAGAGAAGACUGGGUUGGAAGGCGAGAUCUGCCUGGACUCUACAACCAGAGGCCAUUACAAGAUGGUGUCCCCUUGGCCAAUACAGCAGGGGAAACAGCUGAUGCCCAAAGACCGCAUGGUUUGGAGGAGGCUCUCCUCAGAGAAGAAGUGGCCUGCCUCCACUCCUCUGGGUUCCCUAGAGCUGGUGAGGGGUCCUCUUCUCCCUGAAGGCUGUCACAGUUCCUGUGCAGAGAGAGAGGGCACUGCAGCACCCAGGCGCUGACUGCCUUUUGUCAGUCUCAUUUGCAGGCCCCCAGCUGGAGAACCCAGGAGGAAGAGGAAAAAAGUUUUUUCCUCCUCUACACUCCCCAUGCAUGACUAAAGAGUAGGAGGAGUCAGCAAGGCAGACAUAUAUAGUACCCAGGAGGUGGACAAACAACUGCCUUGGUGGAAACUCUGUCCUUUCUGGACUUAUCCUGGUGCCACUGAGACUGUGCAGGUCCCACACUUACAGGGAAAGCAUCACCCGAAAGUGAGAAUGCCUAGAGGCAGGAAUCAUGGAGGCUUCCUUAACCGUCUGUCUGCAACAGCAGGUGCUAGAGAUGACACUGCAGAGUAGAGAACAAAGGAAUCUUAGUAAUUGUUCAAUCCAAUCUCCACACUUUAAAGAUGAAGAAACUGGUAUUGAGAAAAAUACACAGCUUAUCCAAGGUUGCACUGCUGGUUGGUAGCUGAGAUGAAUUUAGAACCCACAUCUGAUGACUACACCAUAUUGCUCCCAGUUUUCCUGUCUGUUCCACAUGUAAAAGUCUGACUCUUCACUUCUCCUUUGAGUAUAUAGACUUUUAACAUUUUUGUAUGUCAAGAUGGACUUUUCCUCAUACCCAGCCCCUGCCUUUUCUCCUCCCUUCAUACCUUGCAGGAUCUUUAACAGAAUUUAAAAGGAGUUUUUUGUUUUGUUUUGAUGUAUCUAAUAAAAGUCAAGGGAGGGAGAGGGCCAGUAUAAGCAAGAGUACAGUUUCCUAGUUUGUAGAUGCGGUAGUCUGAGGAAUCAGAAACACACAAAGGUUUGGAGAACUGGUACAUGCUCCCAGGUGGGAAGCCAGGACUCUUGGUAGGAUCUUGAGGACAAGGCAAAGGACAAUAAGAGAGCGAGGGGAUCCUAGAGGUGGAAUCAAGGAAGAGAAACUAGAGAGAGAAAAAGGAACUGGCUAUCCAUCCAUGAUGGAUCCUGUGUGGACUGAUGGGUGGCUUGGCAUCAUCCUUUAGUAGACUUCAUGUGGUUGAAUAAUUGGCCAAUGGAAGGAAUUUCUUUUUUGGUAACAGACUCUGUGUGUACAGUUAUGGGUCUUAAUUUAUAAUAAAAGGUUACAUUGAAAAUUGAGCAUAUUGGCAACUUUGGGCUUUAAUAUUACUACUGUGCUAUUUAGGUCCCAACCAUCCUAGCUAAUCUGGGCAUUCUUGAAACAGCUCUCAUUAUUGGUAUGUCAAACCGUCUCAUAGGGCAUGUACUUAACAAAAGUGGAGUGAAGGGUUCAGGAUGCAUAAAUGGGGUGAAGCUCGUGGUAUUCCAUUCCUUUUUACUGAAGCCACUCCUACCAGCUGCCUUCUAGAUUGUUCACCUUAUAUGAGCAUGGUGCAGUAUAGAAGUUGUAGACUUUGGCCUCAGACAGAUCUAAAUUCUAAUCUCAGAUCACUACUUCCUGGUUGAGGACAAGAUUUCUUUAACCACCCCAAGUCCCAAUUUUCUCAUGUCUAAAAUGGCAGAAAUAAUGUGUACUUUGCAGGGUUGUUGUGAGAGUUAAGUAAUAUGGGUAAUGCACUUGGGACAGUGCUUCACACAAAAUUGUCAGUAAAUGGUGAUCUUUCUUUUCCUGGCACUACAAAGCUGAGGAGAGGAGGGAGGGAGGGAGAUGAAUGUCUGGAGGAAGAAAGGGCAGGAGUUUCUUCAUCUUUGAGUGAAGGAGCAUUGAGGGUUAGCAGGGAUAUAGGAAUAGUGAGUUGGCUGGGAAGAAAAAAAGGAUUAAAAGAGGAAAAGAAUAGGAAAAAAGAAGGAUACCAUGGAGAAAAUGGGCAACGGCCCCAGAAAGAAGAGCAAGAAUGGCAGUGAUGGUGAGCAUUGCUGGAAUGAUGGAAGGUUCUCCGGCCCCGGUGAUGCGUGGGCACCACCGGAGAGCUUGUUAGAAAUGCAGAGUCUCUGUCCCUCCCCAGACCCUCUGAAUCAUAAUUUGCAAUUUAAUGAGAGGUCCCCAGGUGAUUCCCAUAUCCAUUAAUUCUGCAGAGUUGAUGUUUUCAUCUGCGGUGGCGGGGGGCGG